AUGAAGAAUACGGGAGAAUAAUGGCAAAUUGAGUGCCUUGACCGAAGAAGCAAGUUGUCACUAUACCCAGGGUGGCGAUGAAACUUUCAGGUAACAGGACCGUAUUUGGACA
rfam:Syntrophaceticus schinkii strain Sp3 genome assembly, contig: SSCH_Contig_105